rnacentral:rRNA from 1 species
AGUGGCGUCCGGGUGAGUAACACGUGGGUAAUCUACCUCUGGGUGGGGAAUAACUCGCCGAAAGGCGGGCUAAUACCGCAUAAUGCAGCGGCACCGAAUGGUGAUUAGUUGUUAAAGCGGGGGACCUUAGGGCCUCGCGUCUGGAGAGGAGCCUGCGGCAGAUUAGCUUGUUGGUAGGGUAAUGGCCUACCAAGGCUGCGAUCUGUAGCUGGUCUGAGAGGACGGCCAGCCACACUGGCACUGAGACACGGCCCAGACUCCUACGGGAGGCAGCAGUGGGGAAUCUUGCGCAAUGGGCGAAAGCCUGACGCAGCAACGCCGCGUGGGGGAUGACGGCCUUCGGGUUGUAAACCCCUUUCAGCAGGAACGAAAAUGACGGUACCUGCAGAAGAAGCCCCGGCCAACUACGUGCCAGCAGCCGCGGUAAUACGAGGGGAGCUAGUGUUGUUCGGAUUUACUGGGCGUAAAGGGAGUGUAGGCGGGAGCCUAAGUCAGAGGUGAAAAUUUGGGGCUUAACCCCAAACUGGCCUCUGAUACUGGGUUCCUCGAGUAUGGAAGAGGGCGAUGGAAUUCCUGGUGUAGCGGUGGAAUGCGUAGAUAUCAGGAGGAACACCAAUAGCGAAGGCAGUCGCCUGGUACAAUACUGACGCUGAGACUCGAAAGCGUGGGGAGCAAACAGGAUUAGAUACCCUGGUAGUCCACGCCGUAAACUAUGGAUACUAGAUAUCGGGGGCCUCAACUCUCCCGGUGUCGUAGCUAACGCGUUAAGUAUCCCGCCUGGGGAGUACGGCCGCAAGACUGAAACUCAAAGAAAUUGACGGGGGCCCGCACAAGCGGUGGAGCAUGUGGUUUAAUUCGAUGGUACGCGAAGAACCUUACCUGGGCUUGACAUGGGGAUGCCGGGCGCAGAAAUGUGCCUUUCCCUUCGGGGACGUCCCACACAGGUGCUGCAUGGCUGUCGUCAGCUCGUGUCGUGAGAUGUUGGGUUAAGUCCCGCAACGAGCGCAACCCUUACCAUUAGUUGCCAGCAGUUCGGCUGGGUACUCUAAUGGAACUGCCGGUGAUAAACCGGAGGAAGGUGGGGAUGACGUCAAGUCAUCAUGGCCUUUAUGUCCAGGGCUACACACGUGCUACAAUGGCCGGUACAAACCGCUGCAAACCUGCGAGGGGGAGCCAAUCGGAAAAAGCCGGUCUCAGUUCGGAUUGCAGUCUGCAACUCGACUGCAUGAAGUUGGAAUCGCUAGUAAUCGCGCAUCAGCAUGGCGUGGUGAAUACGUUCCCGGGUCUUGUACACACCGCCCGUCACA